rnacentral:rRNA from 1 species
GUAAGGUCGUGGCUUACCAAGGUUGCAACGGGUAACGGGGAAUCAGGGUUCGAUUCCGGAGAGGGAGCCUGAGAAAUGGCUACCACAUCCAAGGGAGGCAACAGGCGCGCAAAUUACCCAAUCCAGACACUGGGAGGUGGCUACGAAAAAUACUGGGCCGUUUCCCUAUGGGAUGCGGCACCGGAAUGAGCACAAUUUAAGACAUUUGUCGAGUAACAACUGGAGGGCAAGUCUGGUGCCAGCAGCCGCGGUAAUUCCAGCUCCAGCAGCGAGUGUGAAUGUUGCUGCAGUUAAAACGCUCGUAGUUGAAUGACGCGUUGUGGGGCGCCAGGGCAGACGUGCUAAGCAACUAAAACUGCCUGCGUGAGGUGCUCGCCCGAACCACGUUCGGAGAUGGGCCCACAAGCAGGCAGCGCGGUGUUCGUUCUGCCUUGGAGCGGUCCACGACGGAUUAUCGUGAGAAUGGCGUAUGGCCUUAAGUGGUUGUGCGUCGUGUCUCGCGGAAUGUGCCUUGAGUAAAUCAGAGUGCUCAGAGCAGGCAGCGGCCUGAAUGUGAUAGCAUGGAACGAACAAGUGUGACAGUAGGUGCGGCGGAGGUCUCCGCGAGCUGGCAUUGUUGGCCCGCGGCGGGUCUGCGUCGCACAGCACCAACCACCAAGACGGAUGUUGGUUUCCGUGUUGGGGUGAUGAUUGAGAGGGGCGGUUGGGGGCAUUAGUAUUUGGCCGCGAGAGGUGAAAUUCUUGGACCGGCCAAGGACUAACAAAUGCAAAAGCAUUUGCCAAGACCGUUCCCGUUGAUCAAGAGCGAUAGUGAGAGGUUCGAAGACGAUCAGAUACCGUCCUAGUUCUCACCGUAAACGAUGCCAACCCGGGAUCAGCUUGGAGCUUUCGAUAGAAGUACGCUCGUGGUUGGUCCCCCUGGGAAACCUAAAGUUUUUGGGUUCUGGGGGGAGUAUGGUUGCAAGGCUGAAACUUAAAGGAAUUGACGGAAGGGCACCACCAGGAGUGGAGCCUGCGGCUUAAUUUGACUCAACGCGGGAAAACUUACCCGACCCAAAAAUCGAAAGGAUCGACAGGCUACAGGCCUUUCGUGAUACGGUUAGUGGUGGUGCAUGGCCGUUCUUAGUUCGUGGAGUGAUCUGUCAUGUCGACUCAGGUAACGGACAAGACCUCAACCUUCACUUGUGGAGUGAGUGCAUUCGGCCCUGUUGAAAGACGGGGUUGUGGUAAAACAGCGGAACCGGAAACGGGACUGCCAGAUUCCCACUCACCAAACACUGUAUGAGUGAAAGCUGGUACAGUGUGCGAUGAAGGGACCACCGAGUAUAUAACAAAGUCGGUUGAAGCGAGGCAAUAACAGGUCUGUGAUGCCCUUAGAUGCUCGGGGCUGCACGCGCGCUACAAUGGUGACAACAACAAGUAUCUGGAUCGAGAGAUUCGGGUAAUCAGCAAUUGUCACCGUGAUGGGGAUUGUGCUAUGCAAUUAUCGCACAUGAAAUCGGAAUGCCUCGUAAUUGCGAUUAAUCACAUCGCGAUGAAUGCGUCCCUGCCCUUUGUACACACCGCCCGUCGCUACUACCGAGUGAAUCGUGUCAUGAUGCCUUGGGACCGGACGAAUUGCAGGCUUACGUUUGUCGUUUGCUGGGAUCAAGGUAAAAUGGCGCAGUUUCGAGGAAGUAAAAGUCGUAACAAGGUUUCCGUAG